CCGGAGAUUAUUAUAGAAGUUUCCAAACUGAAGCAAUGUCCAGAUUUCCGCCACAGCAGCUGGCAUUUUGACAUCAGCAGAGGCUGUUUUCUUUUACCCAGGUACCGAGGACCUUCAGAUAGGACAUCAGAGAAUUCAGAGCCCAGACAGCUGGUGAAAAGAACAUGGAGCUGACAAGUACAGCAGCCCCCAAAACCGAGGGCUUCAGCAACACUGGCUUCCGGGUGAGCAGAACUUUCUUCUUCUGU
rnacentral:lncRNA from 1 species